UGACCUCAAAUCAGGUAAGAGUACCCGCUGAACUUAAGCAUAUCAAUAAGCGGAGGAAAAGAAAAUAACAAUGAUUCCCUUAGUAACGGCGAGUGAAGGGGGAUAAGCUCAAAUUUUAAAUCUGCUAGGUUUUACUUAUCAGAGUUGUAAUUUGAAGAAACGUUUUCCGCGUCUCGGUUGACCCAAAUCCUUUGGGAUAAGGUAUCAUGGAGGGUGAGAAUCCCGUUCGGUUGACCUUAUGACGCUUUACGAUACGUUUUCUAAGAGUCGAGUUGUUUGGGAUUGCAGCUCAAAAUGGGAGGUAAAUUUCUCCUAAGGCUAAAUAUUGGCGAGAGACCGAUAGCGAACAAGUACCGUGAGGGAAAGAUGAAAAGAACUUUGAAAAGAGAGUAAAAUAGUACGUGAAAUUGUUGAAAGGGAAACGAUUGAAGUCAGUCGUACCGACGGAAAAUCAACUUUUUGAGUGCGGACUUGUGGGUUUACGUGAGCUUUACGGCCUCGUUGUUUGCAAUGUUCGUUCUUUUUGGGUGUACUUUUUCGUAUGGUUGGCCAAUAUCAGUUUCGAUCACUAUAAAAUGACCGGCGGAAUGUAGCUUCGAUCUCGUAUUGAAGUGUUAUAGCCUCUGGUAGAUGUGGUGUUUGGGACUGAGGAUUGCAACGAAUACCUUCUGGGCUAUCCGUCUGAUCUCUGAAAGUUGCUUAGGUGCCGAAAGCGUGCUUACGGUUAUUUAAGUUGACGGUCAAAAGGUUAGAACGUGAUUAUAUUCGUUAAGGAUGUUGGCGUAAUGGCUUUAAACGACCCGUCUUGAAACACGGACCAAGGAG
rnacentral:rRNA from 1 species